rnacentral:rRNA from 1 species
UACGUAGGGUGCAAGCGUUAAUCGGAAUUACUGGGCGUAAAGCGUGCGCAGGCGGCUUUGCAAGACAGAUGUGAAAUCCCCGGGCUCAACCUGGGAACUGCAUUUGUGACUGCAAGGCUGGAGUACGGCAGAGGGGGAUGGAAUUCCGCGUGUAGCAGUGAAAUGCGUAGAGAUCCGGAGGAACACCAGUGGCGAAAGCGGCCACCUGGACUGCACCUGACGCUGAAACGCGAAAGCUAGGGGAGCGAACGGG